GUCGCGUCCCGCCUAUCGCCAACCCCGUAGCGCCUCCGGGACGCCCCGAGGCCCCGCUAGCCGCCCGGGGAGGAGCCGCCGCCCGGCCUCAAGCCUUAGUCUCCAGUCUUGCAUCUUAGAUUUGAGCUCAGCUGCUUCUGAUGCCUUACAUCAUCUAUUCUCAGGACCACUGUAGUGCCUUUUCAAUUUGGCUGCUGCUGAGCAAAGAGCAGCCAAACUCAACUGAAGUCUUUCAGAAUUUGCUUCUCUCAGGACUCAACUAUGAAUUGUUUAAGCUGAGGACAGACCUGUGUCCAGCCUGAGAGGUGCAGGGGCCAGGGGAGCCACUGCUGAAGGAUCAUGACUAAAGCACUAGAGAAGACAGAUGAUUCCAAAUGUGGCCAAAAAAUGUGGUUUUGUUGGAUUUCCUUACUCUUCCGUCCCACUGAUCUUUCAUCUCAGAGUUUUUCCAAAUGGGUAUCUUAACUGUUACGUUUACUGCUCAGUAGUGCAGAAGGAUAUUCAUUAACAUCUUCACAAAUGAUGAGUAGGGUUUCUCUUGUUCGCAUGCAUUCUGCUAAUACACUAAUGAAUUUUGAAAGGUUUCCAAACAUCUGUACAAGCCAUUACUUGUGUGAAAAUGUACCCAAUUAGAACUCAUUACUGUAAUUAGUCAUACUUGACAUUAGUAUGUGGUUUAGUGUAUAAACAAUAACAUGUAGAAAUAAUAUGUUUCAGUUAUAUUAACAAGCAGCUCCAAUGGUCACAGAUAGAAGAUGUAUUCACAAAUAAACAAAAAGCAUUCUUCAACAUGAAUAACAUAUUAACAACACUGAAUAAGUUCUUUUUAGGAACAUGAUUUUUAGUCCCCAAUAGUGGGAAUGGACUUAGCCAGCUUAUCGCAGCACUGAAUAGGAAUCACACAGGAUUAAUCUGGAUAAUCCCUCUGAAGGGGCAGUGAUGUGAGGCUGGGAUGCUGCACGCUCACUCAGAGGUAGCAGAAGUAGAGCACUGUGACUGUGACUUCCAAAAAGAACUUUCUGUGCUUGGCUGGUUGGCAAUUAAAAGAGAAACGGAAAUCAUAUCAAAUCCUGAAGUUUGAGAUCAAGCAAUAAAAACAAAAAACAGUUAAAGGUCAACUCACUGAAAUAUUGCCCCUUGUAUGCUGCUCGACUUGUGUGGAAUUCCAGCUUGUUCUAAAGCAUACAGGAUACAGCAACAAGGAAGAAAAGCUAGAAACUGAAUUUCUCCAGGCUGUUUCCCCCUUUGUCUUCAGGUGAAUGCAAUUUUUUUGUAUUCUUAUUAUGGGAACGUCUGGCUACGCUGUUGUUAGGAUGCCCAAAAGGGUGCUUUGUCCCUUUCAUUAGAGACAGUAGAAAGUAAGUAAAGAUAAAACAUAUGCAUCUAAUGUUUUAAGUAUGUGACUUCAUGGCUGUAUGUUGUUUAUUAAUCGAGGUUCCUUAGAGAUCAUCCCUCAUUUAUCAAGAAAUCUAAGAAGCCUUAUUCCAGUGCCUAUGAGAAGUUAACACUCAAAAAAAACAGUGGUUUCUUCUGUGGGAGGCAGCCACUGGGGUAGGGGCAAACAGGCUCUCCUCUCUUCUACCAUACCCAUUGGGACAUGGGCAGCAGUUGGGGCUGCUGGGGCUCCUCCCGCACCCACAGGCUCACGAACACACAUCCCAUCCCACCCUGAACAUGAAAAUGCUGGCAAAUAAAAUCUCUAGGACUCGUUUUGGAGUUUUAGAAAGCAACCAUCCUUUAUCAGGC